CGGACGGGUGAGCAAUGUCUGGGGAAACUGCCUGAUGGAGGGGGAUAACUACUGGAAACGGUAGCUAAUACCGCAUAACGUCGCAAGACCAAAGAGGGGGACCUUAGGGCCUCUUGCCAUCGGAUGUGCCCAGAUGGGAUUAGCUAGUAGGUGGGGUAACGGCUCACCUAGGCGACGAUCCCUAGCUGGUCUGAGAGGAUGACCAGCCACACUGGAACUGAGACACGGUCCAG
rnacentral:rRNA from 1 species